UUCGCCCUUAGAGUUUGAUCCUGGCUCAGGACGAACGCUUUCGGCGUGCUUAACACAUGCAAGUCGAGCGGGGAUUAGUGAGGUGCUUGCACCGAUCUAAUUCUAGCGGCGGACGGGUGAGUAACGCGUGAGCAAUCUGUCCCACACAGGGGGAUAACACUUGGAAACAGGUGCUAAUACCGCAUAAGACCACGAGGUCGCAUGGCCACGGGGUAAAAGAUUUAUCGGUGUGGGGUGAGCUCGCGUCCCAUUAGCUAGUUGGUGAGGUAACGGCCCACCAAGGCAACGAUGGGUAGCCGACCUGAGAGGGUGAUCGGCCACAUUGGAACUGAGACACGGUCCAGACUCCUACGGGAGGCAGCAGUGGGGAAUAUUGGGCAAUGGGCGCAAGCCUGACCCAGCAACGCCACGUGAAGGAAGAAGGUUUUCGGAUUGUAAACUUCUGUCCUAAGUGACGAAGACAAUGACGGUAGCUUAGGAGGAAGCCCCGCCUAACUACGUGCCAGCAGCCGCGGUAAUACGUAGGGGGCAAGCGUUGUCCGGAAUGACUGGGCGUAAAGGGCGUGUAGGCGGCUCUUUAAGUGUGAAGUGAAAGUCUUGCUUUCAAGGUGGGAACUGCUUUGCAAACUGGAGAGCUUGAGUGCGGAAGAGGUAAGUGGAAUUCCCAGUGUAGCGGUGAAAUGAGUAGAGAUUGGGAGGAACACCAGUGGCGAAGGCGACUUCCUUGGCCGCAACUGACGCUGAGGCGCGAAAGCGUGGGGAGCGAACAGGAUUAGAUACCCUGGUAGUCCACGCAUGUAAACGAUGA
rnacentral:rRNA from 1 species